GGGACACGUGGUAUCCUGUCUGAAUAUGGGGGGACCAUCCUCCAAGGCUAAAUACUCCUGACUGACCGAUAGUGAACCAGUACCGUGAGGGAAAGGCGAAAAGAACCCCGGCGAGGGGAGUGAAAAAGAACCUGAAACCGUGUACGUACAAGCAGUGGGAGCCUCUUAAUGGGGUGACUGCGUACCUUUUGUAUAAUGGGUCAGCGACUUAUAUUCUGUAGCAAGGUUAACCGAAUAGGGGAGCCGAAGGGAAACCGAGUCUUAACUGGGCGUUAAGUUGCAGGGUAUAGACCCGAAACCCGGUGAUCUAGCCAUGGGCAGGUUGAAGGUUGGGUAACACUAACUGGAGGACCGAACCGACUAAUGUUGAAAAAUUAGCGGAUGACUUGUGGCUGGGGGUGAAAGGCCAAUCAAACCGGGAGAUAGCUGGUUCUCCCCGAAAGCUAUUUAGGUAGCGCCUCGUGAAUUCAUCUCCGGGGGUAGAGCACUGUUUCGGCAAGGGGGUCAUCCCGACUUACCAACCCGAUGCAAACUGCGAAUACCGGAGAAUGUUAUCACGGGAGACACACGGCGGGUGCUAACGUCCGUCGUGAAGAGGGAAACAACCCAGACCGCCAGCUAAGGUCCCAAAGUCAUGGUUAAG
rnacentral:rRNA from 1 species